rnacentral:rRNA from 1 species
AGUCUGCAACUCGACUGCGUGAAGGUGGAGUCGCUAGUAAUCGCGGAUCAGCAACGCCGCGGUGAAUGCGUUCCCGGGCCUUGUACACACCGCCCGUCAAGUCAUGAAAGUGGGCAGCACCCGAAGACGGUGGCCUAACCCUUGUGGGGGGAGCCGUCUAAGGUGAGGCUCGUGAUUGGGACUAAGUCGUAACAAGGUACC